rnacentral:rRNA from 1 species
GACGAACGCUGGCGGCGUGCUUAACACAUGCAAGUCGAACGGAAAGGCCCCUUUGGGGGUCCUCGAGUGGCGAACGGGUGAGUAACACGUGAGUAACCUGCCCUUGACUUCGGGAUAACUUCAGGAAACUGGGGCUAAUACCGGAUAGGAAUCCUUGCUGCAUGGUGGGGGUUGGAAAGCUUCGGCGGUUUUGGAUGGACUCGCGGCUUAUCAGCUUGUUGGUGGGGUAGUGGCUUACCAAGGCUUUGACGGGUAGCCGGCCUGAGAGGGCGACCGGCCACAUUGGGACUGAGAUACGGCCCAGACUCCUACGGGAGGCAGCAGUAGGGAAUAUUGCACAAUGGGCGGAAGCCUGAUGCAGCAACGCCGCGUGCGGGAUGACGGCCUUCGGGUUGUAAACCGCUUUCAGCAGGGGCGAAGCUUGUGGUGACGGUACCUGCAGAAGAAGCACCGGCUAACUACGU